UCGUCAGCUCGUGCCGUGAGGUGUCGGCUUAAGUGCCAUAACGAGCGCAACCCCUGCGUGUAGUUGCCAUCAGGUGAUGCUGGGCACUCUGCACGGACUGCCACCGUAAGGUGUGAGGAAGGUGGGGAUGACGUCAAAUCAGCACGGCCCUUACGUCUGGGGCUACACACGUGUUACAAUGGGUGGUACAGCGAGUUGUCCGCCGGCAACGUCGGACCAAUCUUGAAAACCAUUCUCAGUUCGGAUUGGGGUCUGCAACCCGACCCCAUGAAGCUGGAUUCGCUAGUAAUCGCGCAUCAGCCAUGGCGCGGUGAAUACGUUCCCGGGCCUUGUACACACCGCCCGUCAAGCCAUGAAAGCCGGGGGUGCCUGAAGUCCGUGACCGCAAGGAUCGGCCUAGGGCAAAACCGGUGAUUGGGGCUAAGUCGUAACAAGGUAGCCGUA
rnacentral:rRNA from 1 species